rnacentral:tRNA from 1 species
CGGGGUCGUAGCGCAGGCCUUGGCGGACCGGGUUGAGGACGCGGCCCGGCCGGGUGUCGGUGCCGGUGCCGGCGACCCACU